AGUGAACGCUGGCGGUAGGCCUAACACAUGCAAGUCGAACGGCAGCACAGUAAGAGCUUGCUCUUACGGGUGGCGAGUGGCGGACGGGUGAGGAAUACAUCGGAAUCUACUUUUUCGUGGGGGAUAACGUAGGGAAACUUACGCUAAUACCGCAUACGACCUACGGGUGAAAGCAGGGGAUCUUCGGACCUUGCGCGAUUGAAUGAGCCGAUGCCGGAUUAGCUAGUUGGCGGGGUAAAGGCCCACCAAGGCGACGAUCCGUAGCUGGUCUGAGAGGAUGAUCAGCCACACUUGAACUGUGACACGGUCCAGACUCCUACGGGAGGCAGCAGUGGGGACUAUUGGACAAUUGGCGCAAGCCUGAUCCAGCCCUACCGCGUGGGUGAAGAAGGCCUUCGGGUUGUAAAGCCCUUUUGUUGGGAAAGAAAAGCAGCAGGUUAAUACCCCGCUGUUCUGACGGUACCCAAAGAAUAAGCACCGGCUAACUUCGUG
rnacentral:rRNA from 1 species